UAGAAAAUUGAUGUCACAACUUCCUUACUAGAUAUUUGGGGUGAUUCCGAUCAUAAGAUCUUUCAAUGGCGGUGAUGUGCGUGCAAGGAGAAGUCGGCCAUGGCUGAGCUUUUUUGAGAGUGAGAAAGAAACUGAGAUGAGUGAGACUGAGAGAGCCCAAAGUCAAAAGAAAGAACACAAUGAAACUGACGUUUGAUUGCCCACAGCUCUCUGUGAAAUGUUAGUAUGAGUUUUUGGGAUGAAAUUAAGGUAGCGUGAAUUAAGUGGCACGUAGCAAUGUGAAUUGGACACAAAUCAUAAGAAGCAGAUAUCGGAUGCCAUGUGUAAGGAGCUCAUGAAUUUGUACCUCGGUCGUUGUCUGCUGCACACACCUUGGAAAUUGGAAUCGAUAGAAAGCAGAGACAUGGGGGAACCUGUGCCUUGAAAUUUAUGCAGAUCCAUCAAAGUUUCAGAUGAACAUGUUCCUCCAUGAUCUACUGAAAACCCACUGAGCUUGUCUAAGUUGAGAGAAAUUAGUGGCAGUGGUGUAUUUGUUGAUGGAAAGGCAGAGUCAAGGGACAAUCUUAGAGGUGUCUACAAUUCCCUUGGUGGUGAGAUCUGCAUUGCUUUGGUUUAAAAAUUAUCAGUACAUGCUGGUUUCUUCGUAUCCCUUUAUCAAAUUUUGUGUGUGCGGAUAAAGCAUUUGUUCUUGAUGAGGAUUAAUUAAGACUGCAGAUUUUGGGGUGAAUUAUUCUUAUGUUAUAUCAGUACA